GUCUCCAUAGCUCAAUUGGAUAGAGCGUCGGCCUCCGAAGCCGAAGGUUGCAGGUUCGAUUCCUGUUGGAGACG
rnacentral:tRNA from 1 species